ACKGCUCAGUAACACGUGGACAACCUACCCUCAGAUCUGGGAUAAACCUGGGAAACUGGGUAUAAUACCGGAUAGGUCUUGGAUGCUGGAAUGCACCGAGGCCCAAAGCUCCGGCGUCUGAGGAUGGGUCUGCGGCCUAUCAGGGUAGUAGUGGGUGUAGCGUACCUACUAGCCUACGACGGGUACGGGUUGUGAGAGCAAGAGCCCGGAGAUGGAUUCUGAGACACGAAUCCAGGCCCUACGGGGUGCAGCAGGCGCGAAAACUUUACAAUGCCGGCAACGGCGAUAAGGGGACCUCGAGUGCCAGGUUACAAAUCUGGCUGUCGUAAUGCCUAAAAAGCAUUGCAUAGCAAGGGCCGGGCAAGACCGGUGCCAGCCGCCGCGGUAACACCGGCGGCUCGAGUGGUAACCGUUAUUAUUGGGUCUAAAGGGUCUGUAGCCGGCCGGAUAAGUCUCUUGAGAAAUCUGGCAGCUUAACUGUCAGGCUAUCAGGGGAUACUGUCUGGCUCGAGGCCGGGAGAGGUGAGAGGUACUUCAGGGGUAGGGGUGAAAUCUUGUAAUCCUUGAAGGACCACCAGUGGCGAAGGCGUCUCACCAGAACGGACCUGACGGCAAGGGACGAAAGCUAGGGGCACGAACCGGAUUAGAUACCCGGGUAGUCCUAGCCGUAAACGAUACUCGCUAGGUGUCGGCCGCGGUGCGACCGUGGUCGGUGCCGUAGGGAAGCCGUGAAGCGAGCCACCUGGGAAGUACGGCCGCAAGGCUGAAACUUAAAGGAAUUGGCGGGGGAGCAC
rnacentral:rRNA from 1 species